GAGUGCUUUUUAUAUCUCGGAUGUGGAUUCAGGAGGAAUAUAUAAACAUCCGAGUGAUACAAAGCACACUUAGCUUUAAUUUACAAUAUAUUCAGUGAAUCGAAAAACGGAUACAAACUAUUUAUUACCGUUUAUUAACAUGUUGAAGAAAUUUAUUUAAACUAUUUUGAACACUAGUUUAUGUCAAAUAAUCGAUUUUUCAAUGCAAAUAAUAAAAAGCUGGAUUUACUAUUUGCCAUUGAACCUUUGAAAUUUUUGUUACAAAGAAUCAGAGCUUUUCUACUCUAAAGGAUGUACUUCACCCAACUUAUCAGCUAACUUGUGUAUGAAAUAGCCAAUGGCAACAUUUCGAGCUUCAAGACAUUUAAUCUACCUGUGAUGAUCUCUACAUACAUGUCUGUUAUUCCAUGCCAAAUCACUCUUGGGCGCCUGUCUAUGCAUCUGUGAGUGUCAUAUACAACUGUGGUGGCCUGUGUUUGUUUUGCAGUUAUAAAAGCACGACUUAAUAGGACAAUAGUAUGCUGCGACAAACAUCACGUAUCAUUCAGUUCGUCUUGUGCAGCCCAUUAAUAUGCACGGCGCCACACCUGGCCAAAUGCACCUUCGCCCAAUAUAUUAAAGAACUUCAAUCGAUGCCUGGGAUACUCCCAAUGAUCAAUCUU
rnacentral:sRNA from 1 species